GGUCUUGUAUUCAUUAAAUGAUUAUAGAAUGCAAUUCUGUAGGAAUAGUUAAAACUAUCAAGGCUU
rnacentral:tRNA from 1 species